GUUGUCCCAUGACCAAUAUCCAAACACUAGUCGUGGCAGUACCACUAUCGAUUCAGAGAAUCUUAAGCUUAAUUAUCGUCUGGAAUCUGAUGUUGCUUGGCAAGGCUUAUUUGAUGGAAUGAUCUGCACUCGUAUUAAGAUGCAGGAGUCAUCGAAAUACCGUGCGACUCAGGCUCAGUUUGGCAUUGAUUCCUGACCUGCUUUUAGAACUGCUUCUGCUUUUGGGUCUACUCUAGAGUGUUUGGUAAAAUUUUCAAAAGCAGCUUUAGGUCCAAAUAGCUUCUCCCCACAGCUGAUUUUGAGAAGCUACCAAUUGGUUGCUUUUGGAGCUGCUUUGGGGAAAAACACGGAGCAACAGUAGAAACUUAAUGAAAUUUGUUAAACUACCAAUUUUGUCCUCCUCCUUUCCGGAAAAUUACAUUGAAAUAAAUAGGGUUCAGCUUUGAUCUUUUGCCGUCAAAACUACAUUGCAACAUCUGUUGCUCAUCGAACUUUUCCUCCUUCUCUCUCUGCAAAUUGUUGUGCUUGAAAUUCCGGGGCAAGACAAGCCUCGCAAACUCCACAGGGUCCCAAACCACGAAGCUUCUUCCAGUAGAACCCCACGAUAUGAUCAAAUCCAGCAACGGGUCGUCCACCAAAUCAAAUGUCUUUGCAGAAAAACGGCGACACCGGAGUCUCCGGCAGACACUGAAGCGGCUGCGGCACUCCCACAUAAUCGCUACUCCCACCACUGAAAGGUUCAAUCUUGCUCUCCUCACCAUACUCUCAGGUUCGAUCUUUUUUUUUUUCGAUUUCAUAUUCGUGCUCAUGUAAUUGGUAUUGUUUUGUGAGUUGGGUUUGUGCUUUUAAGCAUUAUUGAAGUUUCUUCCUUGCUUAAUUUGGGAUAUGAAGUAUAAAGGUUUAAACCUCUUUAGUUAUGCAGUCACUCCAAUUAUAUGUAGAGUUUGGCAGAGAGUGAACACUGCAAACUCUUGAAAGGUCGCCCAUUUCAGUUUCAGGUUGAACUCGCCUAGCACAUUUAUAAUGGAUUUGGAAGUUUUGGGGCAUGAGUUGCAGUUCAUUCAGCAAGUUCGUACCAUCUUCCGCAGGAUCCUAAUUCAAAGCAUCUAGGAACUACGGUUUGGGAUGCAUCACUGGUAUUCGCCAAGUUUCUGAUUGGGGAUCCUGUUUGGAUUGACAGAGCUAUGUAUGCGCUGAAGAAGUCGGAUGGGAUUAUGGAGGAGGUGACCGAGGAGGAGUUGAUGGAUGCCAAUGGCGCAAUUGGAUUCUACUGGCAUGUUUAUAUUUCCUCACACUGGUGUAGUGCUGGCGACGUUGAUUAAGCUCCAGAUUUGGCCUGCCGGUUUGCCAACCCACCGGUUCAAGUGGGGCUGAUUUUGGGUUGAUAUGGAUGUUUUGAAGAAAUACUUGAGUAAUUCAGAGGCUCCAAAGCAUUAGUUUUGUAGAGGGCAUUGUGAGUGUGUUCUGCUCUACUGCUUCAUGUACUCUAAAUUUUAUUCGUUAUUUUUGCUUAAAGAGUUUAGACAUUGGUAUUGUUCUCUAUGUGCUUUUUACUUUGGUGAUUCAAUGUAGGAUGAGGAACUGUUUUAGCUAGUAGUGCUCAGAAUAUGGUGGAGAAGGGAGUCAUUUAUAAGGCAGCAUUUGCCAAAUUUUGUGUAUGAGUUCAUUAUCAUAUGAAUUUCACCACAUUUUUCCUUAUAACAAGUUUUCUUUAGCUUCCAAGUCUCUACUUGCAUUCUGUAUACCACAGAUUUCUCCCUUUCACAUAUUUUGCUGUGAAUUGCUUGUUCCUUGCUUUGUUCGGUAGCUGAUAGUAAGGAGGAGAAAACUUCUGAUUGCUUCCUUGCUUGCUGGAAGAGCAGUGCAAUUGUUAGCCCCUUUGCCAAUGGCAGCUAAGGCCUUGGCAAUCAGGGAGGCAAUUUACCUAGCAGGAUCCUUUUCCAAUGUAGACAUUGUUUAGGGAGGAUAAUAAACAUGAAGGAGAUGGUUCUGGAAGACAAGAAAUGAAGAUGUUAAGAAAUACAAUUGCACUACUUAAUUAGCAUUUAGUUGCAAAUUUCAAGUGAAUUUAAUGGUUCCCAAACUAUG